AAACUACCCCCUCCGUUCCGAAUUACUCAUCGCAGAAAUGGAUGUAUCUAGAUGUAUUUUAGUUCUAAAUACAUCUAUUUCUACGAUGAGUAAUUUGGAAUGGAGGGAGUACUUG
rnacentral:pre_miRNA from 1 species